rnacentral:SRP_RNA from 1 species
GCCAGGCGUGGUGGCGGGCGCCUGUAAUCCCAGCUACUCGGGAGGCUGAGGCAGGAGAAUUGCUUGAACCCAGGAGGCGGAGGUUGCAGUGAGCCAAGAUUGCGCCACUGCACUCCAGCCUGGGUGACAGAGUGAGACUCCGUCUCAA